rnacentral:rRNA from 1 species
AACGAACGCUGGCGGCGUGCUUAACACAUGCAAGUCGAACGAAGACUCCCUGCUUUUUUGCGCUGCUCUAGUUGCCGCGGGGUGAUUUACCCUUUGGUUACCUUUCCUAGCUUUUGGGGUAACCUCAGGCAACUUGGUGUCAAACCGGCUAAGAGUUCUUGCUGCAUGGUGGGGGUUGGAAAGUUUCGGCGGUUGGGGAUGUACAGGCGGCUGAUCGCCUCGUUGGUGGGGUGGUGUCUUACCAAGGUCUGGACGGGUAGCCGGCCUGCGCGGGGGACCGGCCACAUUGGGACUGAGAUACGGCCCAGACUCCUACGGGAGGCAGCAGUGGGGAAGAUUGCACAAUGGGAGGGAGCCAGAUGCAACAACGCCGCGUGCGGGAUGACGGCCUUCGGGUGGUAAACCGAUGUCGCCUUAGACGAAGAGUGGGUGACGGUAAUGGGUAAAGAAGCACCGGCUAACUACGUG